UUUUAGCUCUAUAUAAAUGGCCCCUUUCUCCUCUCUCUCAACAAUUGUUCUCCCGUUCACCGUCUGAGAAGAAGAAAAGAAAAAAAACAAUCUUUUGAGAAGAUGGCUGAAGCUAAGAGCAAAUUUGAAUCUGUUAGGGAAUGGGUCGUUGAGCACAAGCUUAGAACUGUUGGUUCUCUAUGGCUUAGCGGUAUUGCUGGUUCAAUCGCGUACAAUUGGUCGCAACCCAACAUGAAAACAAGCGUCAGGAUUAUUCACGCCAGGUAAUUCUUCCUUAUUUUGUUAUAUUUUUCUAUUCUUAUCUUUUCCGGUUUUAAUUUCUGAUUACUAUACUCUAUGCAUUGUGAAACAAUAAGAAAUUUUCAAGUUGAUGGUGGAGCAUUCUUAUUAUUAGGUGAAAUUGGUUACUUCCGAGAUAAUGAUAAACAGUUUAUUUUAGGUUUUAGAAACUUUUGCAAUUGUAUAUGGGUUUCCUAGGAUCUCUUUAUUACUGUGAUGCUGUGAUUUUGAUUGUGCCUACCCUAGUUUGCCUUGGCUAUCCCAUGCGUUUCCUGGAGUAGUGGCUGUAAAUACCAAUGGGUUUUCAUUGAGUCCUCAUCUAGUGCUGUCUUACGAUGAGAAAUAUUGGAACUUGUGUGCCAAAUAUCAAAGUAUUGGAAAGGUGAAAAUUUGAAAAAAAACUUAUCGUCUCCUUGUUUGACCUGUCUCAAUGGUAUACUAGGCCUCUUGAGUUCAGCAAGGCGAAAGGCUAUUAUUACCUUAGGAUACAUGUUUCAUUGUUGCCAUUCAUAAGCUUCAAAAACCUAAAAUCAAGUGUCCAAGGAUCCCAUAUGAGUAAUUGAAGGGAUUGGAUGGCAUAUUACUCUAUGGUUUGAUGUGAAGAGCUUUGCUAAUGGUCCUCUCUGUCUCCAACGUCCAAAAGAAGGGAUUAUCUGGGAUAUUAUUUACUUGUUUUCUUGUUAUUGUUGAUUUUUACACUGUUGUUGUUACAUGUUACAUUUUGGUUAUAAUUUGUUGUUGGAUGUUCGCCUGGAGUGAAUAUGACAAGCAUUACAAUUUUCCUUUAAAGUCAUCAGUAUUGCUUUACUUUCUCCUGAUCGUGCUAUCAUCAACAUUCUUCUCCAUUGAUGCCAUGCACUACUUCUCUGCUUUGUUGCUAAACCUUUUUGGUAUUCUAAAUCCAGGUUACACGCACAGGCGCUCACGCUGGCUGCAUUAGCCGGUGCUGCCGUGGUUGAGUACUACGAUCAUAAAACUGGAGCAAGGGCUGACAGAUAUGCUGCGUACAUCCCACACAAGGACGCUGAAUGAAUCCAGAAUAAAGGAUAUGCAUUUAAUGAGACCUUCUAGGUCCGUAAUGAUUCAGUGGAUUGACAUGAAUAACAAUUUAUGUAAGGGGUCAUAUGAGUUGGUAUUGUUUGACCAGUUCUGGUUUGUAUUGUUUUAUUUGGUACUACCGUUGUAAUACACUUGAUGACAAGGAAAUGAAAUUAAGAAAGACAAUUUAUUAUUAAGUUGUAAGUUUUGAUAAGUAUCUGAGAUUAAAUUGUGAAUUUUGAUAAAUCAUAAAGAUUAACCUGUAAUUUACCGUAGUGUUUUUUUUGCCCCCUAAGUUGUGAAGCCGCUAGUAAAGUUUCCACUGUUUGAUGCUUCAGUGCUAUGCUAUCA
rnacentral:misc_RNA from 1 species